AUGCUUGCCUUAGCAGCACAUAUGCUAAAAUCCAUAACCAUACAGAGAAGAUUAGCAUGGCCCCUGCUCAAGGAUGACAUGCAAAUUUGUGAAGUCUUCCAUGUUUUU